AAACGGAGCGUGUUGUGUGUGACGUCUUCUUUUGCGCAUGUCGGCCCAUUUGAGGGCCGUGUACCAUUCACACUAGAGCACGUUUGCUGUCACAUUUUAUUUGUAGUGUAAACAACCAGACAAAAAAAAUUAGAUUUGAUCAAAACAUCGGAAUUGAGCAUUAAGACUUGCAGUGUGAACAUAGCCUUAGAGUUUUUGAACAGUCAUUUUUAACAUGAGUUUGGAUGUAAUGUGUUAGAACUACCAGCAGGUGGGGAUAAGAGACCUUUAAGGUGUUUGGUGCCACACUCCACCUUCAGGUUUAAAACUAGUGUUAAUGGAGGGAGUUUGAAGGUUGAGUUUGUUCCACGACUGCAUUUCACUCACUGCCUCUGUUUGUAUCUCUGUCACUGCAGGACCAACAUGGAGCGAGAAGUCAGCGCUCUCAGGAGGCCGACAAACCUCAACCAAGAAAGAGAGA